rnacentral:rRNA from 1 species
CCUACGGGGGACUGCAGUGAGGAAUAUUGGUCAAUGGGCGCGAGCCUGAACCAGCGAAGUAGCGUGAAGGAUGACUGCCCUACGGGCUGUAAACUUCGUUUAUAAAGGAGUAAAGUGAGGCACGUGUGCCUCUUUGUAUUUACUUUAUGAGUAAGGAUCGGCUAACCCCGCGCCAGCAGCCGCGGUAAGACGGAGGCUCCGAGCGUUAUCCGGAUUUAUUGGGUGUAAAGGGAGCGUAGCUGGGAUGUUAAGUCAGGUGUGAAAGUUUGUGGCUCAACCGUAAAAUUGCAAUUGAUACUGGCAGUCUUGAGUACAGUUGAGGUAGGCGGAAUUCGUGGUGUAGCGGUGAAAUGCUUAGAUAUCACGAAGAACUCCGAUGGCGAAGGCAGCUUACUAAACUGCCACUGACAUUGAUGCGCGAAAGUGUGGGUAUCAAACAGGAUUAGAUACCCGGGUAGUC